ACCAGCCCCAUAGACCACUGAGCACCUAGGGAGGUUUCUCUGCCUAGCCAUAGCAUCAUUAAUAGAUGUCCAAAAAUGAGCAAUUCUGGGAAUCACGCAGUGGGUUUUAAGGUAGUUAAUAUCUAUGGUAUAUUAAAAGGAGCAGUCAUCAUAUACUACUGCAUUUCCACUGAAGAGCCAAAAGGCAUUUAAUAUAUAUGUUCAUGAAACAUACCUUUUUCCUCUUUAAAAAAAAAGAUAUACUCAUUUUUUUAUUUUAUGUGUAUGACUGUUUGCCUACGUGUAUAUAUGUGCACCACCUGUGUGCCUGGUGUCUGUAGAAGCCAGCAGGAGGCUGUUAGAUCUCCUGGGCCGGGCGUUCCAAACAGUUGUGAGCUACUGUGUGAGUGCUAGGAGCAAACCUGGAUCCUCUGCAAGAGCAACGAAUACUGGUAACCCCUGAACCAUUUCUCCAGCCCCCUUUGCCUAUCAUCCAUCUCAAGAUAGAACCUAAGUAUUUCACGUCUGACCAGCAGUCUCUGUGGUUCUGCACAGAUUUUGGAAGGUCUUCACUACUCUUGGAAACAAACCCAUGAAUGAAGAAGAAACUCUUAAAAUGGUUCUGUCUGCACUGAUUCAAAGAGGAUUUGUGGGAAAGAAAACUAAAGGCAUGGGUUUCGUCCAAAAAUCAUGAAUUUUUCUAAUUCUACUAUUUUACAACUUGCUGAGACACAAAUACUGUGCCCUUCCUGUCCUACUGACCACUGGGUAUGUAAUCUUUGAGGGAUAUGCGCUUUUAGGAAAAAGGAUUUCCCUUUAAGGGAGCAAUCUAAGAUAGUCUCUGAAAGGCAGAAAGUUUACAAAUUAGACACUGGGUAUUUUUUAAGAACCUUCAGUGGAAGCAUGUCAUCAAUUCAUCACAGGCCUUUCCUGUCUUUGAAUUAGAAUCCAGACUAGUGUGGGAAGCAGUCUCUCUGGACUUUGAUUUAGGGAUCAUGUUUUGGCCUGGAAAAUAAGCAUUGGCCUGCGUGUUUAGAAGCUCCCUGAAAUCAGUUAGCAUCCUAAUACGAGUCAGAUGCUGCAGAAAUGUAAGGCACUUCAAGUCACUUAUGGGUUGGCUUGGUUUGGUUUUUCUUAGCACCACCUGGGAUCACAGAGGCUCCUAAGAUACAUGAGACCUUUGCAGUGUUUUCUCUCCACCUUCUGAGACAGAGGGAAGCAAGGAAACAGGGGAGAAAAAAAAGAGUGAACAAAUUCAGUGCAGUGUUUUACACAGCUUGGUACCAUGAUAGUACCAGGGACAGGUUUUAAUAGAAAUUUAAGCUAUUUGUAUUACGAACAUAGGAGUGUCCACAUGUUGUUGUAACUCUGUCCUGCAAGAGCAGGUAUUCCAAUGACACUGGCCUGUGCUUAGCUGAGGAACUUCCAGCUUCAGAUUCUGUUACAAGUGUCACUUGCCAAAGGACCUUACUGUUCCUUCUAAGCAUCCCAGCACCUGGUGUGAUCUAGCUUUCCUCCACCCAUACUUUGUCUUCAGCUUCCCCUUCCCUCACAUAUCACAGCCCUUCUCUCCCAAAGGGACCUUUGCAGCUUCUAUUGGACCCAGAUACCCUUUACCUCUACAGCAUAGACACCAAAUGUCCCAUAGUCCUCUCACACCCUGUGUUCCAGCCUUCAGUGUUUGGACAGAGCACCACUGUCACCAAGGAGCCUGUGUGAGACACACUGCUGAGACUGCCUCUUGUUAAUGUCACCAUCACCUCAUCACUCAGGCAAAGAGGGGAAAAUCCAUAAAAGAGGUGGAAAAUGCAUUUAGUUUUUUCAUUUUGUUCUACUUUAUUAAAAAGGUUGGGUGUUCUAGUUCUUGGUUUCUCAUAGAUUUUUAAACUAUCUAAUUAGAGAACACUUUUGAUCCAUCACAGCAGGUCACCAGCCAUGACAAGGCUCAAUCUAGGACUCUCAGCUUCCUGCGCUGCUGGACACAUUGACCUCUGUGCAAACAUUGUAGACUUCUUAUUGCUACUCAAUUCUUGCUACUGCUCAUGAUUCAAAUGUCUACCACAAUCUGAAUUGGGAUGUUGACAUUUUGUGGUUAUUUUCAGAUUAAUAGUAAUUGUUAUGCUCUUAAAAGCACUCAUAGAAAGUGUAAGCAUGUGUAAGCAUGUCCUGAAUAGCUUACUAUUCUGUCAUGGUAAAACACAGCCUUUCUGUUCAAAUAUUAGGCCAAUCUGUAGGUGGAAAAAUUAACCAAUAAAAUAAAGACAGCUUUGGAAAGGAGAAGGCACUUUAAAGACAUGAAACCUCUUAUUACAUGCUCUUGUAUGUUUUUAAGCAUAAUAAGCUAACUGGAUUUGGGUAUAUGCCCUUUAAGUUAAAAAUAAUAUGUAUUUCUAAUUUGCAUAUUUAAUUUUGUCAACACUAAGAAAUGUUCAUGUGUUGAAUUUGUAAAUAUAAUUUGCAACCAAAUGAAGUAUUUAUUUUUAAAAAGAAAAGGUGGAGGAACCAAUAUCAACUUGUACAUAAUGAAAAUAUGCGUGUACAUAUAUUUUCCUUCUUGACACUACUUGAUCAUUAUAUCAAGUGUAUUUUUGUACAUAAUAUAUAUUGGUUAGAAAAAAAUAGAUUGUCUAUUGAAAGAAAUUCUCUCUCUGCAGUAGAUUAUAUUUAUCCUAAUCUAUUGAUAUUCUGUUGAUUUGUUUUAAGAGAUAGAACUCUAUUUUUUUGAACUUCCAGAGAAUUGCAUUCAUGGCUUCCACUUGUAAAUAUGCUAAGGGUAUUUUAAUAAAUCUUGGUUUCAUGUCC
rnacentral:lncRNA from 1 species